rnacentral:ncRNA from 2 species
AAAAACAUAAUAAUGUUCACUUAUAUAAGUCUAGCGAUAUGGGCUAGAUGUUUCUACCGAGCUACCGUAAAUAGUUCUAUACUAUAAGUGCAAGGAUUAUUAUU